rnacentral:lncRNA from 1 species
UGGUGGUUCACGCCUGUAAUCCCAACACUUUGGGAAGCCGAGGUGGGCAGAUCAUUUGAGCUGAGGAGCUCAAGACCAGCCUGGACAACAUGCUGAAACCCCAUCUCUACUAAAACUACAAAGAAUUAGCCAGGCGUGGUAGCACAUGCCUGUAGUCGCAGCCACUCGGGAGCCUAAGGCAGGAGAAUUGCUUGAACUUCCCCAGCUUCAAGAGGAAGAGUCUGCAGUGAGCCGAGAUGGUGCCACUGCACUCCAGCCUGGGUGACGAGUAAAACUCCCUCUCAAAACAAACAAACAAACCAAAAAAACAAAUAGCAACAGCAACCGCAAUCAUCAUCACCAUCAAGGCUGGAACAAGGAUGAGGCAGGCAGGCUCUGAUAGUAACAGGAGGAAGCAGACCAAGGAGGGAGAGAAAGGAAGGCAGAGAAGGGGAAAAAAAAACACAAAUGAUAAUAAUAGAUGCUGACAUUUACGGAGCACUUACUAUGUGCUGGGAACCAUGCUGAGGGCACACCGAAUCCACUGAACAGUUGGUGAAAAUAUGAUUAUUCAGCCUGGCCAGCAUGGUAGAGAAACCGCAUCUCUA